rnacentral:lncRNA from 1 species
CAGCAGCAGCAGCAACAGCCGCAGGCAUCAGUGCGGUUGGAAAAAGCAUCGUCGAAGUUUUAAGAUCUGACAGUAGGGCGGGCCACUUGGGCUAGUCAUCCUGUCUUCCCUGAAAAGGGGAAUCCGAGGGUGGAGAGCCCUCAGUCUGAUCAUGAUUCCACUCUCAAAAGAUCUCUACCUCCACUCUACCAGAAGACCCUCGAGACUCACAGUCAAGAGGACCUCCUGGAUCGAAGGCUCCAGGAGAUGAACCGACGAAUCGAAGAGCUCCGCCACGCUCCCCCU